UGGGGAAUAUUGGACAAUGGGGGCAACCCUGAUCCAGCCAUGCCGCGUGGGUGAUGAAGGCCCUAGGGUUGUAAAGCCCUUUCGGCGGGGAAGAUAAUGACGGUACCCGCAGAAGAAGCCCCGGCUAACUUCGUGCCAGCAGCCGCGGUAAUACGAAGGGGGCUAGCGUUGCUCGGAAUCACUGGGCGUAAAGCGCACGUAGGCGGAUUCCUAAGUCGGGGGUGAAAUCCUGGAGCUCAACUCCAGAACUGCCUUCGAUACUGGGAAUCUUGAGUCCGGGAGAGGUGAGUGGAACUGCGAGUGUAGAGGUGAAAUUCGUAGAUAUUCGCAAGAACACCAGUGGCGAAGGUGGCUCACUGGCCCGGUACUGACGCUGAGGUGCGAAAGCGUGGGGAGCAAACAG
rnacentral:rRNA from 1 species